rnacentral:rRNA from 1 species
AUACGUAGGGGGCAAGCGUUAUCCGGAUUUACUGGGUGUAAAGGGAGCGUAGACGGCAAAGCAAGUCUGAAGUGAAAGCCCCGGGCUCAACCCGGGAAUUGCUUUGGAAACUGUUUAGCUGGAGUGCAGGAGAGGUAAGCGGAAUUCCUAGUGUAGCGGUGAAAUGCGUAGAUAUUAGGAGGAACACCGGCGGCGAAGGCGGUUUACUGGACUGUAACGGACGUUGAGGCUCGAAAGCGUGGGGAGCAAACAGGAUUAGAUACCCUGGUAGUCCACGCCGUAAACGAUGAUUACUAGGUGUUGGCUGUCAUAGACAAUCGGUGCCGCAGCAAACGCAAUAAGUAAUCCACCUGGGGAGUACGUUCGCAAGAAUGAAACUCAAAUGAAUUGACGGGG